rnacentral:rRNA from 1 species
AUGUAUAAGUAUAAACGAUUCAAUCGUGAAACCGCGAACGGCUCAUUAUAACAGCUAUAAUUUACUUGAUCUUGACCGUCCUACAUGGAUAACUGUGGUAAUUCUAGAGCUAAUACAUGCACCAAAGCUCGGACCGUAAGGGAAGAGUGCAUUUAUUGGAACAAAACCAGGCGAUUUCAGUCGUUUGUUUGUUGACUCAGAGUAACUCAGCUGAUCGCACGGUCUCGUACCGGCGACGUGUCUUUCAAGUAUCUGCCUUAUCAACUUUCGAUGGUAGUGUAUUCGACUACCAUGGUGGUGACGGGUAACGGAGAAUAAGGGUUUGACUCCGGAGAAGGGGCCUGAGAAAUGGCCACUACGUCUAAGGAUGGCAGCAGGCGCGCAAAUUACCCACUCUCAGAACGAGGAGGUAGUGACGAGAAAUAACGAGACAGUUCUCUAUGAGGCCUGUCAUUGGAAUGGGUACAAUCUAAACCCUUUAACGAGUAUCUAUGAGAGGGCAAGUCUGGUGCCAGCAGCCGCGGUAAUUCCAGCUCUCAAGAUGCAUAGAAUCAUUGCUGCGGUUAAAAAGCUCGUAGUUGGAUCUGUGCUCCGGCGUCGGUCCACAGAUUUGUGCGCACUAGCGUCGGGGCUUCACUGCCGGUUUCCUGUCGUAGUUUUAAUCGAUUGCGGCGGGUGGCUGGUGAUUUUACUUUGAAUAAAUCAGAGUGCUCAACACAGGCGUUU